CUGAGUUCUGCACGUAUUGGAGCCUGUCCAGGGCAUUGCUGGGUAACCCGAACAGGACUUCAUUGCAGUAAUCCAGCCGGGUGGUAAUGAAAGUGUGGAUGAGGUAGCAUCUAUAGCGACGUCUUUUCACACUCAGGGGAAGACAGGUGAGAAAGAGAUGUAAGGAAGAGGACUGAUUGAGGCAGAGCCAGGGUGAGAAGACUGUUAGGGUCAGAGCUCAGCCCUAUAAGUAGCCAUGGUAACCCUGCCGUUUCCAAGGAGGGCUGUUUGCUGCAGUGCUACUGUGAAGGAGCUUCUGAUCCACUGAUCACAUGAUCAGCUGGUCUCUUCUGGUACAGAGCAUCUGUCACUCCCUCUGUCAGCUCCCACCGCUCUCUGUCUCUAUCUCUAUCUCUAUCCCUCUCUCUCUCCUGUUCAUCCGCUCUCUUACACUCUGUCUCUCUUUAUCUCUCAUCUGAAAGUUGAUAGCGCUGGAAAAUACCCACAAUGCUUUGGUGCCAUUCCUCUGGAACAGUGACAGAAUGUGAGGCAGUGGCUGAGGCUUGAACGGCUGCAUGAGACCGUUCUGUCCGUGUGUACAUGUAUGUUGUGUAUGAUUUUAUAAACAGUGCUGCAUAAACAGAAGUUAUAUGAA